rnacentral:rRNA from 1 species
GGAGGAAAGCAGGGGAUCGAAAGACCUUAUGCUUUUGGAGCGGCCGAUGUCUGAUUAGCUAGUUGGUGAGGUAAGGGCUUACCAAGGCAACGAUCAGUAGUUGGUCUGAGAGGACGACCAGCCACACUGGGACUGAGACACGGCCCAGACUCCUACGGGAGGCAGCAGUGGGGAAUUUUGGACAAUGGGCGCAAGCCUGAUCCAGCAAUGCCGCGUGAGUGAAGAAGGCUUUCGGGUUGUAAAGCUCUUUUAGUUGAAAAGAAAAAAUCAUAACUAAUAAUUAUGAUUCAUGACGGUAUCAACAGAAAAAGCACCGGCUAACUACGUGCCAGCAGCCGCGGUAAUACGUAGGGUGCAAGCGUUAAUCGGAAUUAUUGGGCGUAAAGGGUGCGCAGGCGGUUCUGUAAGUCAGAUGUGAAAUCCCCGGGCUUAACCUGGGAAUUGCGUUUGAAACUACAAAGCUAG